CGCCUCAGCGAACUUCUGUCUGCUGCAUCUCAAAGGAGCAUGGGGACCUGAUGAUACCUUCAACUAAAGAAACCAAAUGUUCUCUCGUGCGUGGUCCUGACGGAAAAGUAGUAUCAACAAGGCUAUGCCGCUCCGAAGCAUUGAGAUGACGAAGCGUCGUGGUAGCUACACCUCUGCCUUCGAAAGAUGAAUCAGUCAUUCCACACUGUGCUUACUGGCUUUGUAUAGAGUCUGGCAAAUCCGACAGACUUGGACUGCCUUUUUCAAGAAAGUUUGAAAUAGCAUCCCUUAUGCACCUGCAUUUCAAUUCCAAUCUGUAUUACAAGAAUGACAGACCACUCAACAGAGAUGAACAUCUGAAAGUGAAAGAUUUGAAUGAAGAUACGUUAAUCUGUGUCAAAGGUUCUUAGUAUGUGUGCGAGUGGAGGACAUAGGUCUCAAGCUCAUUCCUGUCUUCAGAAGAGGUGACAACUAUGCUCCUUCUAUCUAUUAACCAGCUCCACCUUUUAGGGUUCCCUGUAAACUAAUGGAGCACAUCAUGUACUACCACGUUGUCAACCAAGUUGAGUCUGUCGAUUUCUUUUUUUAAAUUCCAGCAUGGGUUUAGAAAGGGGUAUUCGGGCAAAACUAACGUAGUGGAAUUCGUUCACAGCAUUUCAAACUGUCUUGAUUUCUGGGUCCACGUAGAUGUAGUAUUCUUUUUAUUUUGUAAGGGCUUUUGACACUGUGCUCUAUGCUCGCGUGUUGGCCAAAGUAGCCUAAUUAAAAUUUGAUCCUGCUACCUGGAUAUGCAGUUUCUCAACUAACCGUAACCGUGGCGACAACUCGUGAGGAGAACCUAUCAUAUCGCCACCAUGCAGCAUUUGUUAUGUUACAAUCGCUUCACAUUUUAAUCUAGUCAAAAGCAAGGCCUUUUGGUGAUCGGUCUUGUAUGAUUACGUGCCCCUCCGUUAUGUAACACCACACUGGGUUCUUCAACCUAUGAGAGAUAAAUAAAUAUAUUGCCAAGUAAAUUGUCUACAAGGCUCGUUAUUCCAUUUCGCCACACUACCACAAACAAUUGUUAGAGUAGUGGCCCAGGGUAUGAAGCUCGCCACUAAUCAUCACUCAAACAAAGUUCAUAAUGUAAAAUCCUUUAUUCAGAACACUGGCUUAACACAACAAUUAAGAAUAAAGAGAGUAAACGUUUCAUUGCCUAUCCAGGUGGCAUCAUCCCUCCAACAGAGAACAAUCAAAAACAACAUCAAAGGAGUCAAAUCGGUGGUCCGCAUUCCUUUCAUCCAACGUAUUUCAUACGCUAUUUGGAGGGCACUGUGCCCAUCAGGCAUUUUGACUGUACAUAUCAAGUUGAGUGCAUAGAAUGUGAUGCAACCUACAUUGGCGAGAUAGACAAAAGACGUGGGACAAGACUAAAAGAGCCAGUUGCCAGGGCUACUAAUGCUUAGCUUAACUAAACAGGACCGAAUCAGUCUACCACUGCUGUCCUAAGGGACAUAUAUUUUGAUGGUGCAGUAACCUUUGCUCAUGACUAGCGAUGGGGCCCCAGAAAGUUCUUAGAAUCCUGCUUUAUCAGGCGUGAUG